UUUAUCAUUUCUGUUGAUGUUUUACAAGUAUAUGUAUACUGAAAUUUGGCACCCAGAAGAAUUCCAAAUUUCUCCACCAACGUUUUUUCUGAAAUGGAUAAAUUCAAGUAUCUGAAGCCCGCCUGGUGGACUGCAUCGUUGAUACUUUUAAUGCUGUUGUCCAUGACGAAGGGUGCCUCAAAAUAUAUCAACUUUGCAGCUUUUCCGAAAAUUAUUGAUAAUGUGUUGGGCACAAUAUCCACAACCAUAACAAUUAGACCGGAUUAAGUGUUGCCAACAACAAAUGCAAAACAGGGCGAGCAAGCAACAACAAGAGCAGCAACAAGACAGCAAUUCGAAGCAAAAAGUCUGAAAACUGGUAUCAGCAGCAACAAGGCGCCCAGUGUGGACAUGACCCCGGCCAUGCGGCGCAACAGGUGGUGCCAGGGCAGCUACACAAACAAUCUCAGAUCGUGUGGGCUGGUCCACAUGUAGGCAAUAAUCUGAACAUGUCAGCUGCUGAUAUUGGUACAAGUUGCCGGGCUCAAAGAGUCGGCGCCACAAAGAUUGAAAAUAAAAGAAAAUAGUGCAAAAAAAACGUUGGCAAAUGAUUUUGCAAUGCGCCGGACACUCGUCAAUGUCGCGACAAGGUUCAAUAAUUGACCAAUGGAGCGGGGCAAGGGACAGGCUCUCGCUCUCUCUCUCUCCCCUUCUCUUUCUCUCUCGGUAGAUCAGGGCCAGGAGCAGGGUGCACUCUGUUAAUAGAGUCGUGAUCAACGGCCACGAAGCAACCUGCGCAUAUGCGCAAGGCAUUGGGGCAACGACCACCUACAACUGUGUAUUUGUUUUGGCCAUCCUUUGCGACCCUCCCCCCCUCCGAAAUCCCCCGCACUACCUCUUCGAUUGCUGUUCUUGUUGUUGUUGUUGUUGUUGUUCAAUUAAACUUUAUGCCAAUAAAUUGUAAGCAGUAA